UAAAGGAAGAAGAUAAGGGUUUUCAUGAGAGAGAGAAAGGAAGGCAAGAGAGAUCCAGCAUGUCCGAAGGAUCUCCUGCGACAGGAUCCUUUGGCUUUGGCAAUCAUCCCUGCUCUUUGUUGCUCUACAUCGUGGGAGCCUGUGCUCGCUGCCUGGGCUGCUCAGUUUCCUCCGGUGGUGGUGCUCAGGAUCCUUCCACGGGAGAUCAAGCUAAUGACAUGGACCCCACUGCAGAUGGAUCUGGGGUCGAGACCAAGGCAGCGAGGAGGCCCAGGAGGCCACCACCGAGCGAAGGGCGAGGAGGUCAGAUCAACUGAGCGAGCACAUGGUACCCUCCUUUGGCAUCAGUGCAUGAAGGAAUAGUUCAGAGUUGGUCGCAGUAAAUUACUAUGCAGCUAUCAACGUUCUCUCAGUCCAAACACUUAAUACUUCUGUAGAUCUCUCUCCAAGUUCUUGUUAUGUGCCUAUUUGUCUGUGAGUUGUUACUGUCCGAGUUCUUCUUUUCAUUACUUCUAAACCACCAUGUCAUCAAGCCGAGCUCGAGAUAUACAAGAAGGAAUGUUCAGUUCUCCUUUCCUUAGGUAGUUUCUGCGUACUUGUUUCAUGUUCCAUUCGAUCUGUAGAAAGGGUCACACCAAAGCUUUCUCUGCGCCUACAUGAACUCCUUUAUCUCGUGCUUUUCACCUGUGUUUGACAUGCAAAGAUCCAUUAGGUUCUACAGGGCUCUCUCGAUGAUCCAACUCUUCUCCUUGUACUGUAAAGAGAGAGGUAUAUAUAAGACACACCUCACACCUGCUUCAUUCAAGGCAA